GCCGGGAUAGCUCAGUUGGUAGAGCAGAGGACUGAAAAUCCUCNAGU
rnacentral:tRNA from 1 species